ensembl:ncRNA C27C7.11 ncRNA
GCCUGAGACUGAGCCUAAGCCUAAGCCUAAGCCUAUGCCUAAGCCUAAGC